UGGAAAUUUCAGUGCCAUAGUCAGAAUGCUCGCACCACCAGGCUUACUGGCACUUGUGCAGGUGAGCCUGAUGGUGUGGACAUUCCUAUUGCUGCAGGAAACCCUGAAGAAAGAAAUUCA
rnacentral:lncRNA from 1 species